UUGCUUCAGCACCAUAUGUACUAAAAAUGGGACUAAAACAGAAGACUAGCAUGGCCCCUAUACAUAAAUGACAUGCAAAUUUGUAAAAUGUUCCAUAUUUUU
rfam:Pteropus alecto contig96851, whole genome shotgun sequence.